CAUCACAUCCUGGGGCUGUAGUAGGUCCCAAGGGUUGGGCUGUUCGCCCAUUAAAGUGGUACGCGAGCUGGGUUCAGAACGUCGUGAGACCGUUCGGUCCCUAUCCGUCGCAGGCGUAGGAAAUUUGGGAAGACCUGUCCUUAGUACGAGAGGACCGGGAUGGACGUACCUCUGGUGUACCAGUUGUCCUGCCAAGGGCAUGGCUGGGUAGCUAUGUA
rnacentral:rRNA from 1 species